ensembl:lncRNA
GCCUUGGAGCUGCCUCUGGCUCUGUUCUGUGCCUUUGCUCUUGAUGGGCUGCUGGGGCUGCCCUGUGCCGGCUGGAUGCCAUCUCCCUCCGCCAGCCCCUGGGCUUUCUGGAGCUUUACACAGCUCAAAUCCCCUGCGAAUGGAUAAAUGGGCUCUUCAAAGGCAGAAAGGGAAUCUCUUUCCUGGCUGUUGGAGACAUUAGGUGAAUUACUGCUCCAGCGCUUCAGUCCCGCAAAGUUUCUUCAAAGAAACCCCCAGCCUGGAACUGGUGCGGCUCUGCAGAGGGAAACGCCGCACUGUACUUCAAAGAGGAGAAAAUCUGCAGCUGCCGGGAGCCCGCCUGCCCCAGGAGGUGUCACUGUUGGGACUGGCAGGUUUCAGCUUCUCUACUGCUGUAUUUGGUAAGCAUCCUCCAGUAGAGCAACAGGAUUGAAGUGUGCAGGAGCUGGAUAAUACCCAACUUGGGGCAUUAUGAUCUUGUGUGCAUAUAACAGCAAAGGACCCAGAUCCGCCCCAAUACUCCAGGUUAUGUCCUGUCUCAUGGACUACUACAGAAGCACUAAAACCGUCGCACACAAAGGCACCACGGGACUCCCACCAUCACCAGAGCUCUCCGCCUGCCUCUGGCGCUAGCUGUCAGAACCGCUUCAGCUGAAAUCAAGUUCUUUAGAUUUAUGCAGUAGCCAUGUUUGUCAAAGUAUUUGGCUCUGGUGACAUCAUCUUUGUUGAAACGCCGGACAGCAUGAUGAGUCCCAGAUGUUAAUGCACACUGAGAGUCGAGAAAGAAUAAAAUCCAAAGAUCAACACUAACAGCUCUGGAGGAGUGCACUCACUUUGCACUCUGGGGUUGAUGGAUGAAUACGUGAUUUUUUCCAAGGCAUCCUAAAGCUGUUAAACCUUACAGUCUGUUUUCUUUCUGCCUGGCUUGUAAACUUUCGGCUCGGUGAAAGAAGUUGUGAGUUAUUUUCCUCUGGCAAAUGAAGCUCCAGGCAUGGAUCCCUUGCUGCUGACACAGUGCAAAGGAUAAAAAAGCCAUUUAAAAGACGGGUAAGAACAAACAACGUGAUUAAAGGGAGCUGCCAAAAGCUGUACAAGUGUCAGCUGCCACCACUGCUCGUUACAUGGAUGAAGCUGUUGACUUUUAAUUUAUAGACAUUUGAGAAGGUGUACGUGAAGACUUGAAAAGAAGGCUUUCUUUUGCUAAAAGAAAAAAGAGAACUGUUAUUAAGAACCUCUGCUGAAAUACACUGAAUUACUUCUGCUGGUCUGUGCUAUUUGCCAAUGAGAUCUUUCUGGUUGUGUCAGAAGAUGUUCAGUCUGUCAUUCAGAUCCUCAAGCAGUGAAAUGGAGGAGAUAGUAUUUGACCAUCUGGCACUGUCUUCUUGGGCUUUACUGACUGCAAAAACAGAAGAUGUUCUGCUGAGUGAUGACUGGUUUUUGUCCUGUCAUGUCCUGAGUUUCCACAUCCCCCUGCUCGAAGAAAUGCCAGUUCUUCCAACCACUUCUUUUUUCCUGGAUACCUGUCAACUGUUCACAUUCAGAGACCUUGGAAGGGUAACCAACUUUGAAGAUUUUGUAGACGGCUUUUUGCCCGAAUGGGAAACUGCUGAGUUUCAUCUCAUCCCUGUAGUGGUUAAUUCCAGGACACUGGGAAAGACCCCGAGCUCUAAACGUUGGAUUAAGAUCUUCACUUCAGCAGCUGAGACAAUCACACUCAGGAAACUGGGAAAAAGAGUCCUGAGGGCAGAAAGAAAGGAGAUCUACCUGGUGGUGGCAGAACAAAAAGAUUACACAACCUUGCAAGAAGAAUGUUAUUUAAGAGAAUCCUCAAAGGCCGCUCUAAGGAUUGCUGCUGAGAAUAAAGCACCUGAGAUGGAUAAUGUUCUUACAACAAAAGAGUUUAAAAUAAAAGGUUCAGUCUUGCAAGAUGUGAAUAUAAGAAGCUAUCUUCAACUGAAAAGUCUAUAGAAGAGAUUUUGGAACAAACAGAAGAUCAACAGGAUCUAAUUGUGAGGAGCGGACGAUACUUCUUCAGAUGGAACUGAAAUGUGAAAUUGCAGAAUUUUAACUUCGGUACCAGGUGCAAAGAGUGAGUAAUGUGGUGAUCAGAAGGAAGGCUGACUGUCUGAAAAGAAGCUGGGCCCAGUAAAACCGGUUGAGAAGGGACACAAUUGCUGUCUAUAAAUUUAUGAUGAGGUGACUACUUCAUCAACUUGGCUUUUCACUGGCACAGAAGAACCAGAAAAUGAACCUGGCACUAGAAGCCUGUGUUUCUUCUGCAGCUGGGAAAGCGAUGGGCCUCUCCAGAGCAAGAUUCACCAAAGCAUAUACAAGACUCUCGAUGCUGGAUGUGAAGGCAGAGAAACAAUUUACUGUUUUAAAACAAAGAGCCUGUUCCUCAGGAGACAUAGACUGAUUCAUGUGAAGGCACACCCCAGUUUCCUUGACUGCAAUGCAAUCCAAAUGCAGGCUUCAAGACCCAAUGGUCAGAGUAUUGGGUCAAGCUGAGAACUUGUGGGUUGUUGUCCUGGGCUCAGCUGCUCAUCUUGCCUCAACCUCUUCAGCAAAAAAUGUUUCAGAUUGCUUUUCUGCUCCUGCUUCUGAAGAGAAGUGAUGAGGAGCUGUCCUAUGAAAUGAUAGGGAAGCACUUGCAGAGGAGCACAGAGAUUAGGGAUACCCCUUGGAGGAAGGCAUUCAUGCUCCAUGCCAACCUGUGGGCUCCCAUCCACCUCCCACUGCCCACCGCAGCUCUCUUUCCUGCCACGGGACACCACCAACCCUGGCUGUCCUUGGCCCCAGCACUUCCCAAACUCAGCAGGACUCAGUUCACUGGCCUGAAACAGUGGAAUAAAUCUCACAGUUUUUCCCUCAAGAGGUAUAAUCCUUCAGUUUUCAUGACGGCAGUUUUCCUGUUUAUUUCAACAGAAGUGGUAUCUCAAGAUGAAUGGCAGGAUAAUACCCAUUUGAAAUAUAAGUGGACAGCAGCAUCAGAUCAAAUGGAUGGUGAAAAGAGACUGAAUGGAAAAUGAUGACAGGGCAAAAAUGUCCCUUCCUACCAACAUCUUCAAUGUUUUCAUUUCCAAGCAUUUGUUAAGCAAGGAAGAGGAUCUCUCUCUAUUUAAUGUAAUUUAGUGAUAAUUCUUUGGAAAAGAGAAAAUAUCCUUUCACAGCUGUAUCAACAAUAUCUUCUCUCUUAAAAGAAAACAGCAGCUGACUUGACAUGUCAAGCAUCACGUAUUUGGCCACGGAAGGCAAGCAUGAGCCAGACUGGUCAAUAGCACUGACUUGGAACAAUGCCACUGAAAAGUUGGUCUGUAAACUGAUGCUACCUUAUUUCUUGGAUUGUAGAAGGGCUUGCUGAGAUUUAGCAGCAAUGCAGAACUACCACAUUCCCGGUAGAUAUUUCUUUUCUUGUUACAUGAGACCCAUGCAUGAAGUGAAAAAGAACAAAUGAACAUCAGGUUUACAUCACCACUGAUAUGUGAAUGAUUGAUCACCCAUUAAAUCACAUACAGAGCUGGUAACAGCACACGGGGUAGCGUUAAAGUAAAAUGUUUGAUAUUCUUUACUCUAAUUAAACAUGGAAAUAAUACGAUGCAGUCUGUAUUGUAAAUGUUAUUGCAGAUUAUAGACCUAAAGGAGAGGUGUUAUGCCACCUUUAUAGCCUCCAGUUCCUGGAGACUGUGACUUAGAGCUGCCUCAGGGCUGCCCUAAAUUACACCAGUUGGUAAUGACUCCCAGAGGGCCGCUAUGCAUCCAGUGGUUGCUGGAGUGUAAAGUACUUUGGCUAUGCCAACAGCCCAUCAUUUCACAAUGGAGGCUGAGAGCAGCUGGCAUAGUGCUUGGAGAAAAUCCCCAAGUAGUGGUUUAAGACAUUUUUCGAACUCUUUUUUUUUUUGUCAUGAGAGUGAUAUAAAAUAAAG